rnacentral:rRNA from 1 species
CCUACGGGAGGCAGCAGUGAGGAAUAUUGGUCAAUGGGCGCGAGCCUGAACCAGCCAAGUCGCGUGAGGGAAGACGGCCCUACGGGUUGUAAAACUCUUUUGCCGGGGAGCAACGGGCGCCACGUGUGGCGCCACUGAGAGUACCCGGAGAAAAAGCAUCGGCUAACUCCGUGCCAGAAGCCGCGGUAAUACGGAGGAUGCGAGCGGUAUCCGGAUUUAUUGGGUUUAAAGGGUGCGUAGGCGGAGCGUUAAGUCAGGGGUCAAAUUGAGGGGCUCAACCCCUUCCCGCCAUUGAAACUGGCGCUCUUGAGUGGAAGAGAAGUAUGCGGAAUGCGUGGUGUAGCGGUGAAAUGCAUAGAUAUCACGCAGAACCCCGAUUGCGAAGGCAGCAUGCCGGCUUCCUACUGACGCUGAAGCACGAAAGCGUGGGGAUCGAACAGGAUUAGAUACCCCUGUAGUC